AUUAAUUUUUUUUUAAAUUUGAUGGUGAAAAAUAAAUAUUCAGCCCAGACCUUAUCAAAGUUUCGUGGGUAAACAGAUAUGGCUGACAAGUGAUAGAAACGUGAAGUUUUUCUAGGAGUGGUCCUUAUUUUAGGGACUUGUCGAUCCUUAAUAAUUGUUCAAAAGACAUAAGUGGAUAUUCAAGAUAUUUUAAAGUUGGAACUGCGUGUAAUAUUCAACCGAGAUUGACCCCCUGCUGUACAGAUCGGGGUACUUCGAAUUCGACGUAAAAGUUUAACUGUUUAAACUAUCGUGCACGGUGCAGAUGCUUACUAGUAUGCCGAGGUCAUUGCGAUUCUUUUGGGAUUUACUGGAGGCAACCACCACCAAAUGUAGUUAUCUCCUACACAAAGGAAAGUGUAAAGCAGACAGAGCAGUAAACUUCAAUGUUUCAAGGGAAAUAUUUGUUCCCGUUGGAAGUGAUUUGGAAAAUAAUUAUAGUCAAAUCACCCCUACUGCAAGCCAAUUAUCAGACUGUAUCACUCACCUGAGCUGAAGGCUAAAGAGGCUAAAGAAUUAGGGUAUAGAGGAGAUCAAAGUAUGAUGUGGGAAUAUACAGGAAAUUAAAACAAAUUCUUUUCAAGAUCUCAGCUGAGUCCAAGAUAGGAGGAGGCUUUGGAGAGAACACAGAAUUACUACAGACAAAAGAGUUGUGAAGUUAUAAGGGGAAUUGCAGAACUCAUAGCUCCACUUCAAUCUAGAUAUGUUGACAGUUAUUUCACAGAAACACUUUGCAGCUGACAAAGAUAAUCAAAUGAUGACCACUACUUUAACUCUAUGGUUGCAGCAUAUUUCAAUUUUUGAAGUGACAAAUUUUAUUCCUGUUUGUGAACCAAUAUUCAAAAGAAACACUGCUAUGGCAUUAGACAUAAAUUAGAAGAGAGUGGUGGGGUGGCAAAAUAAGAUUCCAUACUGUGAAAUGUAUCAAUUGUUAAAAAACAUGUAUCAAUAUAAAUUCAGUGCCAAUUUUCAUAAUUUCUAGGGGAAAAGUUUGUUUGUAACAAAUGUCAGAAAUAUGCACUAGCUCUUACUUUGCAAACCAUGCUACUAAGUACCAGGCAUUAAGACAUGAUUUGUUUAUUGUCAUUUGUUAAACAGAGACAGAGACAGUGAUUUGAAGGGGGGCGGGGGUCCAGAAAAAUGAUCUAAAAUCUGCAUUAGGUCAUAUCCGAUGAAUUGAUAAAGUAAAUAUGUUUAUUAUUGAUUGCUAGUUACAUGUAACCUUUUAUGCAUCAGUUGAAGAUACUUUAUGAACAUUUUCUGUCACUGGGUAAAAUUCAACAAACAUUUUGUGUAUCUGGAAGUGGUCAAUAUAUAUUUCAACAUCAGAGUAAACAUGCAUUAAAGCAAGUCUGACAAUCUGAUGUAGGCAGAAAAUGGAAUAUGGCAUGUUAUUUCAUGAAUGCAAAGGGAAAUGCUUUACAAGAGAGUCAAAAAAAUUCUGGUUAAUGCUAAAUAACUAUCUAGAUGUCCCAGAGAAAAUGGAGAGGGUGUUUUCUACCCCUCCCCCCCAACCCCCUCGGGAUCUGCCAAUGUCAAGUUUGUAAUGUGAGUGAAUGAAUUUAGAUUCUUCAUGAUAGGCAAUUUAUUAAAAUUUGAUUUACUGAUAAUUUUAACUUCAUAUAUGUGUGUUAAUUAAUUGACUAUUAUCUCAAAUCCUGUGUCAGAAAUGACCUCUAAAAAUCAACAUUGUAAAAUUUUAUACAAUGAAUUACAUAGGCAUUUUUUUGCCUUUAUUAUAUAGAAUGUAUACAAAGACAUGAAAUUUAUUUCUGAAUGUUCAUAUGUUCUAGUAAUUUUUCAUGAAUUUUAAUCAUUUAAUCAUUGAUUUGUUAUAUCUACUUCAUAUUUAUUUCUAUUUAUGUAGUUCAACAAUCUUCAUUUAAGUAGUUGACCUUUUUGCACUUAUUGAAAAUUUUGAGAUUUCAGUUCAACUUUUCACCAUCAAACCUUGCUUUUCCCACUGAAUUUAUUUUUGUAACUUGAAAUACACCUCUUCAAGUUUCUGGUUAUACAUAAUCUAUUUCUUUUGAGACAUUGUAUUGGGUUUUGUGAGAUCUUAUAUUUUGAUCAUUAUUUUGUAAAAUAUAUUGGUGUGAAAUAUGUACAAUUUUAACAAUUAAUAAAUUCAUUCAUUGGAUGAAUAUACACACAAAAACCCUCUUAGUUAUUGCAUAUAGUGUAUAUCUAACAUAUAAAAUAUUGC